GGCGUUGAUCAUCACGCGCCGUACGUACGCCUCCGGCUCGUCCGCCGCGCCGACUCUGCGCCAGGCGACGUAGACCUGUUCCAGCGUCGACUGGACCAGGUC
rnacentral:sRNA from 1 species